rnacentral:rRNA from 1 species
GACGAACGCUGGCGGCGUGCUUAACACAUGCAAGUCGAACGGAAAGGCCCUGCUUUUGUGGGGUGCUCGAGUGGCGAAGGGGUGAGUAACACGUGAGUAACGUGACCUUGACUUUGGGAUAACUUCAGGUAACUGGGGCUAAUACCGGACAGGAUCCCUUGCUGCAUGGUGGGGGUGGGAAAGUUUCGGCUGGUGGGGCUGGCGUCGCGGCUGAUGAGCUAGUUGGUGGGGUAGUGGCGUACCAAGGCUUUGACUGGUAGCCGGCCUGAGAGGGUGACCAGCGACCAUGGGCCUGAGGUACGUCCCAGACUCCUACGGUGGGCAGCAGUGGGGAAUAUUGCACAAUGGGCGGAAGCGUGUUGCGGCAACGCCGCGUGCGGGAUGCCGGCCUUCGGGUUGUAAACCGCUUUCGCCUAUGACGAAGCGUGAGUGCCGGUACUGGGUAAAGAAGCACCGGCUAACUACGUG